UACGUAGGGGGCAAGCGUUGUCCGGAAUCAUUGGGCGUAAAGGGCUCGUAGGCGGUUUGUCGCGUCGGGAGUGAAAACACCGGGCUUAACUCGGUGCUUGCUUUCGAUACGGGCAGACUAGAGGUAUGCAGGGAGAACGGAAUUCCUGGUGUAGCGGUGAAAUGCGCAGAUAUCAGGAGGAACACCGAUGGCGAAGGCAGGUCUCUGGCCGAUACUGACGCUGAGGAGCGAAGCGUGGGAGCAAACAGG
rnacentral:rRNA from 1 species